CAGCCGCCACGGUAAUACGUAGGUGGCAAGCGUUGUCCGGAAUUAUUGGGUGUAGAGGGCUCGCAGGCGGUUCCUUAAGUCUGAUGUGAAAGCCCCCGGCUCAACCGGGGAGGGUCAUUGGAAACUGGGAAACUUGAGUGCAGAAGAGGAGAGUGGAAUUCCACGUGUAGCGGUGAAAUGCGUAGAGAUGUGGAGGAACACCAGUGGCGAAGGCGACUCUCUGGUCUGUAACUGACGCUGAGGAGCGAAAGCGUGGGGAGCGAACAGGAUUAGAUACCCCCGUAGUCCCUGUCUCUUAUAC
rnacentral:rRNA from 1 species